rnacentral:rRNA from 1 species
UACAGAGGGGGCUAGCGUUGUUCGGAAUUACUGAGCGUAAAGGGCGCGUAGGUGGCCUGUUAAGUCGAACGUGAAAUCCCCGGGCUCAACCCGGGAACUGCGUCCGAGACUGGCAGGCUCGAAUCCGGGAGAGGGAUGUGGAAUUCCAGGUGUAGCGGUGAAAUGCGUAGAUAUCUGGAGGAACACCGGUGGCGAAGGCGGCAUCCUGGACCAAUAUUGACGCUGAGGAGCGAAAGCCAGGGGAGCAAACGGG